AUACGGAGGACGCGAGCGUUAUCCGGAUUCAUUGGGUUUAAAGGGUGCGCAGGCGGCCGUGCAAGUCAGCGGUGAAAGCCCGGGGCUCAACCCCGGAAGUGCCGUUGAUACUGCAUGGCUGGAAUGCGGUCGAGGCGGGCGGAGCGUGGCGGGGAGCGGUGGAAUGCGUAGAUAUGCCACAGAACGCCGAUAGCGGAGGCAGCUCGCCAGGCCUGCAUUGACGCUCGGGCACGAAAGCGUGGGGAUCGAACAGGAUUAGAUACCCUGGUAGUCCACGCCGUAAACGAUGGGCGCUCGUCGUCGGCGGCAGACAGUCGGCGGCCGAGCGAAAGCGAUAAGCGCCCCACCUGGGGAGUACGGUCGCAAGGCUGAAACUCAAAUGAAUUGACGGGG
rnacentral:rRNA from 1 species